rnacentral:rRNA from 1 species
GAUGAACGCUGGCGGCGUGCUUAACACAUGCAAGUCGAACGGUGAACACGGAGCUUGCUCUGUGGGAUCAGUGGCGAACGGGUGAGUAACACGUGAGCAACCUGCCCCUGACUCUGGGAUAAGCGCUGGAAACGGCGUCUAAUACUGGAUAUGUGACGUGAUCGCAUGGUCUGCGUCUGGAAAGAAUUUCGGUUGGGGAUGGGCUCGCGGCCUAUCAGCUUGUUGGUGAGGUAAUGGCUCACCAAGGCGUCGACGGGUAGCCGGCCUGAGAGGGUGACCGGCCACACUGGGACUGAGACACGGCCCAGACUCCUACGGGAGGCAGCAGUGGGGAAUAUUGCACAAUGGGCGCAAGCCUGAUGCAGCAGCGCCGCGUGAGGGAUGACGGCCUUCGGGUUGUAAACCUCUUUUAGCAGGGAAGAAGCGAAAGUGACGGUACCUGCAGAAAAAGCGCCGGCUAACUACGUG